rnacentral:rRNA from 1 species
AUACAGAGGGUGCGAGCGUUAAUCGGAAUUACUGGGCGUAAAGCGCGCGUAGGCGGUUUGAUAAGUCGGAUGUGAAAGCCCUGAGCUUAACUUGGGAACUGCAUUCGAAACUGUCUGACUAGAGUAUGGUAGAGGGUAGUGGAAUUCCGGGUGUAGCGGUGAAAUGCGUAGAGAUCCGGAGGAACACCAGUGGCGAAGGCGGCUACCUGGACCAAUACUGACGCUGAGGUGCGAAAGCGUGGGGAGCAAACAGGAUUAGAUACCCCAGUAGUCC